rnacentral:rRNA from 1 species
AUUGAACGCUGGCGGCAGGCCUAACACAUGCAAGUCGAGCGGUUGAAGGGAGCUUGCUCCCUGAUUCAGCGGCGGACGGGUGAGUAAUGCCUAGGAAUCUGCCUAUUAGUGGGGGACAACGUUUCGAAAGGAACGCUAAUACCGCAUACGUCCUACGGGAGAAAGCAGGGGACCUUCGGGCCUUGCGCUAAUAGAUGAGCCUAGGUCGGAUUAGCUUGUUGGUGAGGUAAUGGCUCACCAAGGCGACGAUCCGUAACUGGUCUGAGAGGAUGAUCAGUCACACUGGAACUGAGACACGGUCCAGACUCCUACGGGAGGCAGCAGUAGGGAAUAUUGGACAAUGGGCGAAAGCCUGAUCCAGCCAUGCCGCGUGUGUGAAGAAGGUCUUCGGAUUGUAAAGCACUUUAAGUUGGGAGGAAGGGUUGUAGAUUAAUACUCUGCAAUUUUGACGUUACCGACAGAAUAAGCACCGGCUAACUCUGUGCCAGCCGCCGCGGUAAAAC